rnacentral:rRNA from 1 species
UACGGGGGGGCAAGCGUUGUUCGGAAUUACUGGGCGUAAAGGGCUCGUAGGCGGCCAACUAAGUCCGACGUGAAAUCCCCAGGCUUAACCUGGGAACUGCGUCGGAUACUGGAUGGCUUGAAUUCGGGAGAGGGAUGCAGAAUUCCAGGUGUAGCGGUGAAAUGCGUAGAUAUCUGGAGGAAUACCGGUGGCGAAGGCGCAU